rnacentral:rRNA from 1 species
GACAGAGGGGGCAAGCGUUGCUCGGAAUCACUGGGCGUAAAGGGCGCGUAGGCGGGAUGGCAAGUCAGUCGUGAAAUCUCUCGGCUCAACCGAGAAACGUCGGCUGAUACUGCCGUUCUUGAGGGAUGCAGAGGAGACUGGAAUUCCCGGUGUAGCGGUGAAAUGUGUAGAGAUCGGGAGGAACACCGGUGGCGAAGGCGGGUCUCUGGGCAUUUCCUGACGCUGAGGCGCGAAAGCGUAGGGAGCAAACGGG